GACGAACGCUGGCGGCGUGCUUAACACAUGCAAGUCGAACGGAAAGGCCCUGCUUUUGUGGGGUGCUCGAGUGGCGAACGGGUGAGUAACACGUGAGUAACCUGCCCUUGACUUUGGGAUAACUUCAGGAAACUGGGGCUAAUACCGGAUAGGAGCUCCUGCUGCAUGGUGGGGGUUGGAAAGUUUCGGCGGUUGGGGAUGGACUCGCGGCUUAUCAGCUUGUUGGUGGGGUAGUGGCUUACCAAGGCUUUGACGGGUAGCCGGCCUGAGAGGGUGACCGGCCACAUUGGGACUGAGAUACGGACCAGACUCCAACGGGAGGCAGCGGUGGGGAAUAUUGCGCAAUGGGCGGAAGCCUGAUGCAGAGACGCCGCGUGCGGGAUGACGGCCUUCGGGUUGUAAACCGCUUUCGCCUGUGACGAAGCGUGAGUGACGGUAAUGGGUAAAGAAGCACCGGCUAACUACGUG
rnacentral:rRNA from 1 species